rnacentral:lncRNA from 1 species
GAAACUAAAGCUUGUAGAUGGAGUUGUACCAACAUGACAUAUAUUUAUAUUUUUAUUUAGUAUGUCUGCUAUGAAGUGAAAAUGAUAAGAAACGAUCAAACUAUUAAAAAUAGUCAGAAUUAAUAUAUAUGAUGAUCGGAAAAGGACGUCGUAGAAGUUUGGAACCAUAGUUUUAUUCCAAAGUUUGACCAAUUUCACAAAGGAAGACAUGACUUAAGUACCAUAGACUUUCAUUCACGCCAUGCGAUUUGCAAACCAUUCGACAAAACUUUAUUUCAUACAAAAGCACAAGAAUGUAGCAUAAACAUAGGAUAAGUUUGAACAUGACCGCCAUAUGGGCCACGAUAAUUCGAAAACUCAGCAAAAAAUGAUGGAAAGAUUUAUUCAAAUAUGAUAUGGUACAUUUUAACAAAGAAAAUAUAUCCACUUGUUUCGAUUAUCAGUUCCAACGAUCAAUUCCCACCUCAGUAUUCCCAUUUCUUGGUCACUCAGAAACCCACAUAACCUCUUUC